rnacentral:piRNA from 1 species
UACGAUGGGACCUUUAAAAAAGAUAGC